AAAAAAUAUGUUUAAAUUUUAAACAUAUAUUCAAAAAAAAUUUUAACACGCACAAAAUUGAAUAUUAAGAAAUUUAUAUGACAAAUGAAAAUUAGUUAACAUUCAUACCUUUGCUCGAUAAAUAUCAAAUUAGUGAUCGUUAUAAUGAGAAUACGCACUAUUCAUAUAUCUCAAUAUAUCGGAUGGCUUGCUGUACGGAGCCACUUUUAACCAACCUUUAUGCGUCAACUCAGGGUCAUCACUUGUUUCGGUUGACACUUGAUGACGAUUAGGAUCUCCGUCACUUCAAAUUUGAAACAACACUUUUUCCGAAAUAUCAACGCCCCAAUUAUAACUAAUAUUAUCUCUUAUCAUUAAUUCAUCUAAAGUCCAAAAGUACCCCCUUAAACCGUUUUUCUUCGUGAACCAAUAGGGAACGUAGUUCCUGUGGAGAAGUCAAGAAAAUAAUAAGCAAUUGAUUUAUAUAGAAACUUGAAUGAGUUUAGGAAAAAAAUAUACAAUUUCUUAGGGUGAAUAAUUGUGAGUAGAUAUGAUAGGUCUUUAGGAAGACAAUUCAAGAUAACACCCCGUUCAACGUAAGGAAGAGCAAGAAUAGCUCUAAUGUGUUCCACCAAGUUUGUUAAAUCACCAACUUUUGUAUCUCCAUGUUCCAUUGAAGGGAGAAGUCGAACCUUCUCAUUCCAAGUAAUGUACAAUGCGGUAUGCUCAAAGUCAAAUAAAUGCCCACAUUGUUGAUGUUUUGAGUACAUCAGAUACAAUAAUCCAUCUACCACAUCACUAUACAAACAAAAUUUAAUAUUAAAACAUAAUAGAGAAUGUGACUUGCAGCGAGGUAUAUUUUGCAAAUGGGGUUCAUUCUUUAAAAGGAAAUAUGUAGAAUAGAGAAAAAUAUUAUUUAAAGAAAUGUUCAGAAUAAAUGAAAGAGGGAGGAAAUGUAACUUAAUUUACGAACAUUAGAAAUGAGAAACUAAGACACAAACCGAUAGAUUUUUCUGAACUUGAGCUCCAUACAAUUCCACCAUGCAUUGAUUUUAUCUUUGUUAUCACUCAAACAACUAAGUAAAUCUAUGUUUUUUGAAAGUUCAGAGUCAAAAUAUGCAUCCACUCUUUUCACUUCUUCAACAACAAAGAAGGUUGAAGACACCCCAUCGUCAACAACUAUAUCAACUAAGUAUAUCUAUGUUUCUAAGCACAAUAGCACUAAGGAUGGCUGGUUGAUUAUUGCAGGAAAGGAUGUUGAGGGAAAUGGUCAUUUGUUCUCAUGAAUCAAAUGGAGAGAUACGAGUCUGGAGUAUUGGCCAUGGUAGUUGUGCUAAGGUUUUUGAGGGUGGCAGUGUUCAGGUCAGAUUUCAGCCUCGACAUGGGAAGUAUCUUGCUGCCGUGUCGGAGCCGGUGGUUAACAUAAUUGAUUUUGAUACUUGGGAAUAUGUUGAGCAAUUACAAGGGUCAUUUGUCAAAAUUACAUUCCGUCUUGUGUGUGUCAGUGAGGAUAUGAUAAGAGUUUGGAGUGUCGUAUCUGGCAGUGACUAACAAUGUAUUCACGAGCUGCACUAUACUGGCAAUAAAUUCAUAGCUAUGGGAAGUGUAUUUAUGGGAAGAAAUCAAAUAGGAAUUGUGAAAAUAUUGUUCCAAGGGUCAAGAUGGUCGUAUUAGUGGUUUCGAAAAUGGCGCUUUCUUCCAAGGAUCUGGUUUGACCAAAUAAGUUCUUGCUCAGAGUCCUGCAGCAACAAGAAAGCAAUAGCAACAGACCAACUCCCAAGCAGAAUUAAUUUAACCUCAGUUUAUUGGAGUUUGUUGGUCAUUUUGUUGAGGAAAAUCGUCGGGCAAAUGAAUCUAUCACCUUUCUUUAUUGAAGAAAGAAGCACCAACUGCCAUGCAACCACCAAUUAAUGAGAGUUGUCAGUUGAAUUUCAAAGCUUUUCAACGGAAGCUUCGGAGUUACGUUCAAGUUCUCUAAUCAUCAAUUUCAUAAGCAAGGUGGGAGUCACUUGGCAUUUUAGUAAUGACAUGUCGAACAAGCUUUGCGGUACAUUAUAGCAGCAACUCUUGCUAAAUUCGACCUGGAUAAGAAGCAUAAUUUGCAAAAACGACAACUGCAAGCUCGUGGAUUACCUCUUACAACAGAAUAGCUCCGCUUGUUUAAUGAUCGAGUCUAUGGUGCGGAUCCAGGAAUACAAUCUGGCUACAAGCGUUAUGCUAUUAGUGGGACUUUGGAUUAUAUAUAUUGUUUGAUGUUCAUGGUUAAACAUUGUUGUACUUGAAGAAUUUCGAAUAGUUGGCAUCAUAAAUAUUAUUUUUCCUUGUUUAAAUGUUGAUUUUUGAUUUUUUUUUUUUGAACAAUCAAGUGCAAUAAUUGGACCUUCUUAAAGAUCCUGAAGAUGGAGAAGGUGACAUAUUGUUGACAACAUGGUAAUAUUGUCGAUCAUAGGGAUGUUAGGCCAAUGCAAGUCACAACUGAAAUUUCAAAAGCACAACAGCUUUUAAACAGUGUUUUUUAGGAUACUUUUGUUUUAUAUUUUCCAAUUUAUAAUGCUAUUGUAUACCAAAUUUGCUGAUGUAGUUGGAUCAACAACUUCGUAUAUGGUUAAGGUUAGUUACACCACUUUAAACUAAAACUUUAACUUUAAUAGUGGGUUGUAGCUCUUUUAAAAAGCAUAACGUAGUUGUCCUUUUGAACAUAUUUUUGCCAAUUACAUAUGAACGAUAUGUGCACGACCAAUCCUACUUCUAUAAUCUAUUUUGGGUCCUUAGGGAAGCAACAUUAAUGCUUAUUUUGUUUAAUAUCUGCUACACAGAACUUCAUUAUCAAUAUUUAUGAUGUGUUAUGUAUUAGAAUAUUUUAGGUACUAAGGGAAGCAACAUUGAUGCUUGUUUUGCUUAAUAUAUGUUAAAUAGAACUAUAGUAUGAAUAUUUAUGUAUUAUGUAUUUGAAUAUCUACCGAUCAAUUAUGCAUAUUGCCUUUAAACUUUGUUUUCGCACCUUUGAUUUCCUGCCUUUACAUUGCCGUAUAAAAGAACAAUAUCGUUGGGUUCUUGAAAUCAAUGCUACUGUUCUCGGCU